GGUCCCAGUCUCGAACUGGUGUCACUGGGAGAGCCCCAGUCCCAAACUGGGAGGGUCUGAGGUUCAAACUGGGAGCACUGGGAGGGUCCCAGUCCCAAACUGGGAGGGUCCAAGGCUCAAACUGGGAGCACUGGGAGGGUCCCAGUCCCAAACUGGGAGCACUGGGAAGGUCUCAGUCCCAAACUGGGAGCGUCCCAGUCCCAAACUGGGAGCACUGGAGGGUCCCAAUCCCAGACUGGGAGCACUGGGAGGGUCCCAGUCCCAGACUGGUGUCACUGGGGUGUCACUGGGAGGGUCCCAGUCUCAAACUGGGAGGGUGCCAGGUUCAAACUGGGAGCACUGGGAGGGUUCCAGUCCCAAACUGGGAGGGUCCAAGGUUCAAACUGGGAGAGUCCCAGUCCCAGACUGGUGUCACAGGGGUGUCACUGGUGUCACUGGUCCGUUACUGGUGUCACUGGUGCUGUCCCUGGCUCUGUCCAUGGCUCUGUUACUGGUGUUACUGGUGUCACUGGUGUGUCACUGGUGUUACUGGUGUUACUGGUGUCACUGGUCCGUUACUGGUGUCACUGGUGCUGUCCCUGUCCCUAUCCCUGUCCCUGGUGUCAACUGGUGUCACUGGUGUCACUGGUCCGUUACUGGUGUCACUGGUGCUGUCCCUGGCUCUGUCCAUGGCUCUGUUACU
rnacentral:lncRNA from 1 species